CAAGCUUAGCUAGCACGAGGGAGCCUCGACUCCACGGGCUAAACUGGAGGCUCCAGGAGAUCAAAGCACCAUAGCACACUGAGAAAGGAGCUUCACCAGUCACUAGUUUUGUGACUGGGUGUGGAGGAUAAAGGUGAUGCUGUUGAAACAGACCUUGUUGAAGGGAAAAGGAGAAUUAACCAGAGCAGAAGCUUCUGGAACAAGGAUACUCCGUUAGAUAAGAACGUUUGAGAUAUCCUGAGGUAGAUGGAAAGCAACCAGGAACACAGAAUGGUAAGUGAGAAAGAAUUUUCCAAGGUUCUUAGACCAAAAUUAUAGGUGGGAAUACCAGUGACAUUUGCUCAAGGCUUCGUUGAAUCCUUCUAAUCUAAUCUCUGUUCCCAUACAACCCCUUCAAUCACUGCACCUAUCAACACUCAAUUUUCUCUUUAUCUGAAUUCCUAUGGUUUUUACAUUCUAUCAUUUUUGCUGAUUCUUUAGACUUUUACUCUAGAAUUAUUCCUGGAAAUUUCAAAUCUUCAU
ensembl:lncRNA